rnacentral:rRNA from 1 species
UAAGGAAUAUUGGUCAAUGGGCGGAAGCCUGAACCAGCCAUGCCGCGUGCAGGAAGACGGCCCUACGGGUUGUAAACUGCUUUUGUACCGGAAUAAACCCCGAUACGAGUAUCGGGCUGAAUGUACUGUAAGAAUAAGGAUCGGCUAACUCCGUGCCAGCAGCCGCGGUAAUACGGAGGAUCCAAGCGUUAUCCGGAUUGAUUGGGUGUAAAGGGUGCGUAGGUGGCCUGGUAGGUCAGGGGUGAAAGACGGUAGCUUAACUAUCGCAGUGCCUUUGAUACUGCCGGGCUUGAAUGAACUAGCGGUAGGCGGAAUGUGACAAGUAGCGGUGAAAUGCAUAGAUAUGUCACAGAACACCGAUUGCGAAGGCAGCUUACUAUUGUUUUAUUGACACUGAGGCACGAAAGCGUGGGGAUCAAACA